rfam:Gossypium hirsutum cultivar TM-1 chromosome 4, whole genome shotgun sequence
UAUUAAAAAAUUUAUUCAUUUUUAUUGUUAAAAACUGGUAUGGUUGACAUAAUAACCAAACAAUGACACGUGGCGCUAUGUGUACCUUAUGCUGACAUACAAGGACCAAUACUUAACAGUAAAAACGAAUAAAAUUUUUAACA